ACAUUUUCACAAAGACCAUUUACGCCUUCCUGGUAAAACAAGCACUAUAACUACCAAAUUUGCAGAAAACUGAUGACAAAAACGUUUAUAAAAUUAUUAUAAUAUGUUUUUGGCUUUGGAUGGGUAGAAAAUAAUGUACUCUAUGCAAUGGAAUCUGACUUAUAAAAACCCCUGUCGUGGACAGAAAUACUUAGUAUAUUACAUCCCACCAUUGGUUUAUUCAUAUUUUCAAGCAACUUGGAACCAAUCAGAAUAGUUUAAGCUAUAAUAAAAUUACAGUUUGGUGAAUAUAAAGUUUUGCCUUUCUACAAAGUGCCUGUGUAAGCAGGAUCCAGGCCUGUACGAACACAUUCAAAUUAGAAUUCAGAGGUGUAACAGCCCCAGCUCUGAUUCCUCUCUGCUUGUAGAUGUGCUUUAAAGACAGAUUAGCCACUGUCUGUUCAUGUAAAUUAAAACUAAGCAGUUAGCACUCUCUCUGUGCGUUGAGCAGCACUGUGAUAUGUGUAUACUAAAGAACAACAUUAACAAGUCAAUGUAACAUUGCCAUUUCCUCCACUGCAUUCCACAGUGUUAUUUCCAGAGUGUUUGUUUUUUACUGGGAGAGUUUUUUUGAAUGCUACAGAUACUCCCGAAUUGCAGGAAAAGUAUAAAGACAUUGAGAGAAAAAUGAACGAUGUUGAGGAAGAACUAAAAGAAGCACUAAAAUCUAUAAUGGAAUGGGAAAAACUAGAUAAUUUUAUCAGGUGUGCUGUUGUUCAUUCGUACACCAUUUAUGAACAGCUGUGUGAAAGGGGGGUGUUUUCUGAGACGAAAAGACUGUAUUUCAGAGCUGUGGACAUAGGAACUGCCCUGGCAGGCAAUGAAGAAGUUCAGUAUUUUAGAGAGAUGUAUUUUGAGAGAUGGAAGUCAUUUAUAGAAGAACUCAACACAUUGGUAGAAGAAGAGAUAUACAAAACUCAUUUCCUACUUCGACAAGUGUGGGCUGUUGCAUGAAUGUUAAAUGCCAAAUUUGAGCCGUUCAUCGACAAAGUCAAUGCGGAUAUUGAUGAUGAUACAGUACAACAGAUGUCAACGAAGUGGAGUAAUAUAAAAGAGAAAUGCGUUAAAAAGUACUGACCGGUGGAGCACUUACUCGGGAUCAACUGGAUGAAGCUCAGAGGUCAGUGAUAUGUAGUGCUGCACUCUUCAAUUUGAUGAAAUAACCUGUUCUGUAAUAAAUUUGCCACUAAAUCUUUUGUGUAUUUAAAAAUAAAAUGUGCUAAUAGAGUAUGAUUUAUUUGUUAGGUUUAAUUCUACACAUUCAAUAUAAAAACAUAUUUAAGCUGCAUCUUAAUGUGUCUGUUUUUAAUUUGUUAUUAUAAACUGCAACU